rnacentral:rRNA from 1 species
CCCGUCACACCAUGGGAGUCGAUUGCUCCAGAAGUGCCUGAGCCAACCGCAAGGAGGCAGGGCCCCAAGGAGUGAUCGGUAACUGGGGUG